CAUUGGAUGCAGUCACAUUGGUUUUAUGCGGGUUUAUCUUAAAUUUAAAAGCUUAAUAUGGCAUGGUAUUGAAAGAAGAAGCAAGAGGUUUGUAAGAACUCAUUUCCAAUUGUUAUCCAUUGCGCCAGCAGGGAUGAGAAACAGUAGUAAAGACUCGUGACGGGGAGUUGUAUACACAAUUUCCUUGGCAAUCUGUGCUAUACCCGCAAAGGGGUUUCUUUUUAUCAUGCUAGCAGAAACACAUCCCGUUCUUAACUGAGAUCAGGACUAACUCAUUUUAAAGGAGCAGGAACCUACUUCCAGUCUUUGAAGGAACACAGAAGGCGGCUGCUUGGUGAUACAGUAUUUACUGUGUCAUGUAGCACAACAGUUCUGAUCAAGGCAACGUGCGUUAAGCUUCAGCUGAGAGAUGAACUCUAUUCGAAGGAUUCAACCCUUGCGAGCUCGAAGACAGAAAAGCUGUGGAAGUAAACACCCUUAUCGACCACUGAGCACAAAUGAACUUGCCACCUGUACUAUGAUGAUCAUAAUUGUUAUAAUAACAAUAUGGUGUUCUUGGGCAACUGCCCCCAACCCUGCCCUAUAGCAAAUUACGCUCCUGCUUGGAGUGUGUACACUACACAGGGCUGAAGACAGUUCAGAACAUUCUGUGACCAAUCUUUUAAGAAGCAGAAGGUGUGAAUUGACGCCAUGUUCAUUUGGAGCUGUUUGGGUUUACGUAAAUGAAAGCAAUGUUAAGUGUGGUGCACAUACCAGUGAUGUCAGAUGUUGAAACUUUCAUUCUAAAAAAGUGAACGUUUAACUGUUGUUUAAAUAGCAGCUCCGGAGGAAUGAGAUACCACAAACACAUGGCGAAUGGAAAAUGUGGUGUGUCUGCGCUAUUUCGUUAAACCUGGUGAUGCGAAACAGUCCCUGUAAUGUGUCAAAAAACUAUA